rnacentral:rRNA from 1 species
GACGAACGCUGGCGGCGUGCUUAACACAUGCAAGUCGAACGGAAAGGCCCUGCUUUUGUGGGGUGCUCGAGUGGCGAACGGGUGAGUAACACGUGAGUAACCUGCCCUUGACUUUGGGAUAACUUCAGGAAACUGGGGCUAAUACCGGAUAGGAGCUCCUGCUGCAUGGUGGGGGUUGGAAAGUUUCGGCGGUUGGGGAUGGACUCGCGGCUUAUCAGCUUGUUGGUGGGGUAGUGGCUUACCAAGGCUUUGACGGGUAGCCGGCCUGAGAGGGUGACCGGCAACAUUGGGACUGGGAUACGGCCCAGACUCCUACGGGAGGCAGCAGUGGGGAAUAUUGCACAAUGGCGGAAGCCUGAUGCAGCAACGCCGCGUGCGGGAUGACGGCCUUCGGGUUGUAAACCGCUUUCGCCUGUGACGAAGCGUGAGUGACGGUAAUGGGUAAAGAAGCACCGGCUAACUACGUG